ACAGAUCGACCCCCAUGGCAACCGGCUGUCGCUCCACCUCCGCCACCCGGGCCAUCGUCCUCGCGCUGCUGCUCCUCUGCUUCGCCGCCACUACGGUGCAGUCGAGGAAGCCUUCGGCCAGGUACAUCUCGUACGCGGCCCUCCCAAGACCCGACUGCCUGCGAGCCGGCCGUCCCGUUUUCUGCCGCGGGGUCUCGGCCAUCUCCGGCAAGCCUUCACCCGGGUGGGCCUUUAUAUCUUACAGUGCUCGUUGAUGCUGUCGUUUACAAAUUGAUUCUCUGGACUAUAUAGUACGUAUAUGAAUCCAAGCUUAAUUUGUUAGGUUUUGUUUGUUGCAGAUGUGCAUGUCACGACUCGACGCGGAGAUGGCGGCGGAUCUUCACAGAGAUCCCUGAGCCCCUAGCAGCAUCGAUCGUCCGUGCUUUGUAGAACUGCAAGACAAGAGGAAUAUAUAUGUUGGAAUUUAUGUUUACCUUUAACUUGUAAUCUCAACAGCAUAUCUCCUCCCCCUCUCUCUCGUAGCUAUCUCAAUCUUUGUAACGACCGUAUCGUUGGCGAUCGGUUCAACUUGUAAGCCACGGCAGGGCUUCUGCCUCAUAUCAAUAUAAAUCAUCGCGGCUCCCUUACGAGGGAGUAGGAACGCUUCCCAA
rnacentral:lncRNA from 1 species